ACUCCUACGGGAGGCAGCAGUGGGGAAUAUUGGACAAUGGGCGCAAGCCUGAUCCAGCCAUGCCGCGUGAGUGAUGAAGGCCCUAGGGUUGUAAAGCUCUUUCACCGGUGAAGAUAAUGACGGUAACCGGAGAAGAAGCCCCGGCUAACUUCGUGCCAGCAGCCGCGGUAAUACGAAGGGGGCUAGCGUUGUUCGGAUUUACUGGGCGUAAAGCGCACGUAGGCGGACUAUUAAGUCAGGGGUGAAAUCCCGGGGCUCAACCCCGGAACUGCCUUUGAUACUGGUAGUCUUGAGUGCGAGAGAGGUGAGUGGAAUUCCGAGUGUAGAGGUGAAAUUCGUAGAUAUUCGGAGGAACACCAGUGGCGAAGGCGGCUCACUGGCUCGAUACUGACGCUGAGGUGCGAAAGCGUGGGGAGCAAACAGGAUUAGAUACCCGAGUAGUCCCAUGAU
rnacentral:rRNA from 1 species